CAGGAUUUCUCAAACAUGCACAAAAGAGUCAAAGCAACACUCCAGGAAUUGUAUGAUGUAGGGAUGAAAAAAAACAACAAAAAAACCCAGUAUGAUGGAAGUUGAUCAAACACCGAGCCUAAGACGAGUCUCCGUAGGACGAUUACUGGAUUUCAUCGCGAGGUGUCGAAGAAUUACGAGGUGUCGCGUAGCAGUUUUCACACAGAGAACAGAGACCUCCAGUAGGGGGUUUUGAAAAUAACACAAUAUAUUUCUGCUGAUGAGCAAAGGUGAGCACUGAGUCAUGGCUUACCGUCCACAGGAACAUCAGAAACCACGCAGCUCUACCGAU